AUCAAAGUUAUGAUGUUUGGUAUAGUUUAUGUAAAUCUUUAACAAAAUUCACCAUACUUCAUAUAAACUUAUAAUUAGAAUAAACUGAGAUCUAUGGCCAAGGUCAAAGGUCAAGGUCAUUUUUGGAGCUAAAAUAAAUCACUAGUCUCCUUUUUUGUUAAAUUUUCAAAAGUAUAUACUUAUUGGUCCCAUAAUCUUCAUUACAUUUGUUAAUAAUGACCAUUUGAUGAUAUUCAAAAGAUCAAGGAAGGGUUUCAACCUUUAGGGGUCAACAGGUCAAAGGUCAAGUAAUUUUAGGAGCUAGAAUUAGACAGUGACCUUCUUUUUCGGUACUAUAAUCUUUAAUCUUUAAUUACAUCAUAUGGCAUGCAAUAGAUAAAGGAUUAGAUUGACCUUGAGGUCAAAUGGUCAAUGGUCAAGAUGAUUUUAGGACCUGAAAAUUCUCCUUUCUUUGCUCAUUUUUUUAAAAGUUAGUAAUUUUAACAUGUCAAAAGUAGUAUGAAUUAAAAGUACAGUACUUAGUAUACAUAUAGUAAACAUAUUUAUAUACUUUCAUUCUGUAUGCCCUUAAAAUUUGACCCUUUGAUCUAAGGGUUGAAGCCUAUCCUUCAUCUAUUGAAUAUCAUCGAAAGGGACCUAUUGGUAAAAAGAUUUAUUUUAGCAACAUGGUAAAAAUACAUGUAUGGAUAGAUGUCAUGUUUGUAUAUGUAUGUGAAAAAUGAAUAAUGUGUUUAUAGUGGCAAAAACAUUUGUUUAUGUUUCUGAAUGUAAUCAUGGACAAUAUUUAUGGUUUUGCUACAUAUUUCCGAUUUUGUUGAAUGUGUAACACCAGACAUCACAUGAACAGCAUCAGGCUUUUUUGAAUGCAGAGGAUGCCUAUUCUUUUAUUUCAUACCAAAGAAUACCCAAUCAUUCCUGUCCCACAUUGAACUCAGUUAGUUCAAUUAUCUCCCUUGAAAUAAUUUUGAUCUGGUAUAAUAUACUCCUUCAUGCACAUUAUAAAUAAUAGAAAUCUUCUAUAAUGAUAUUCAAUAAACUCAAUCACAUUCCAAUAUUUAUUUGCACAUUAUCAUGAUUUAAAAACAAAAAAAUGUAAGAC
rnacentral:lncRNA from 1 species